ensembl:lncRNA
UUUCAAUAAUAGGUAAUAGAAUUUAUUCUCGGAGCGCGCUACCACUCAACCACAUGCAUCAGUUUAAAUACAGAUCAUGACGUCAUUUCACUGCCUUAACCGAACCCCCUCCUCUCGACAGGACAAAGUAAGGUGAAAAGUUCAUUCUAACUUACUAACACACUCCCAGAUAACUUUUGACCCCUCAACAUUAUCGAUCACCACUGAACUGAGUUUUAAUUAACAGAAACCCUAGGAAUGCACUCACUGCCUAAUCUAAAAACCCCAGAGCUAAGUUUCAGGUUGGGUCAACCAUAGGCUAACGACCUUAUGUGUUUACACAGUCCCCAACCCAUUUGUUCCUGCCCAGUUGGAAUGGUGUUCUUUAACAUUUUAUUACUCCUUUCUCCUGUCACACAAUUUCUUCUUAUGAACUCAUAUAGUCUAUUAAACAUAAUAUAACAGAGUAUAAGUUUACUUACAGUUCCAUUUAAAAUGAUUUGUUCAGUCAUAUUAAUCAUAAUUUCCUAACAAUCCACCCUCAAAAUGACUUAACUCAUACCAACAUUAAACACUACAUGGAAAUAUCAAUGAUAUACUAAAAGAAGACAACCAAUACAUGUAUGUACAUAAUCAACUUCCAUGACUGUUCUAUCCUACAUCAGAAUCUUAAUUCUACUUAUCAGGAUUUUCUGUUAAUCUCCAUGAAAAAACAGUCUAUACAUUGAAAUAAGAAAACAUCUAAAUUUCCUAAACAUCAAAUAUGGUCUCCUCGCGAGUGAAAGGAUCCGGAUUCUUCUAUUACGUCCAAGCCAUGUAUUUUGUAUUCCACUGGUCAGAGCUUAGGAUUGGUCCAUAUAUCUCCAUCUGAAGUGUCAUCGAUUUCUCCAGAGUCCUGGAAAUGAUAACUUUCAUACAUACACGCAAUCAACCACGUCCGUACAAAACUAACAUAGUCACACAGGUGAAGGUAGCCCAUAACACAGUAAUCAUAACAUUUUUCCAUCUUUCAAACACACAGUCAACCCAAUUAGCCAAAGAAGUAUCCACCCCUGAGUUUAUUUCCAACUCGUGAACUAGGGUGUGUAAACCAGACAAGGCCUUGGUCACUGAUCCAUCCUAACUGUAUAUCCCGGAGUCAAAUUACCUAUACACACCCACCCUCUUCAGCCAGCAAACAUCCAAGACUAUUCUAUUCUGCCAAGUCAUUCAUUACAUCUCUAAAAUAAUUGGUGAAGCACUGUGGAUUUUUAAUAGAUAUAAUCGAUCCAAUCCACAUUCUCAUUGAGAGUGGACCACCAAAAAAUACUUGACUCUAAUCCUGCCAGGAUCUAAUUUAUAGCUUUGAUCUCAUCUGCCACCCUUGGAUCCACAAUGUUAUUAAUACAAACCCUAUCAUCAAAAGACCCAGUCGGAGUACUUCUUUUCUCCCGUUCAGUCAACACCAUGUCAUGGUGUUGAAUGAGCGUAAAAGGCAUUCUCAAAAUGUUUCAGUACACAUACCUCUGUUCAAUUAGCCAGUAAUACUCCGCCAUCAUGUCAUUCUCCCACACAUUCAACAGAUGUGAGCCCUGAGCCUCCUUAUCUUACUGAAAUCCCCAGAUCUCAACCAGUCUGCCAAAUCACUCAUUGGUCGCAUCAGAAGUAACAUUAUCUGUCCUAUUGCAGUACUGAUUUUACCUCACAUAUUUCUCAGGAGUACUAUACUGAAUUAAACAAUAAACAGUCUCCCGUUGCCUCUGUGAAAGGAGGAAGCUCAGAUUUCAGAGGAACAUGUGGAUAUAAAUAGUGCAAAUCCAUACAACUUAUUAUCUGGCUUUCCUGCUUCCAUGAAUAGCUUUACCAUACAGGCUGUUCCCUUAGGUGAAUAAUUCCAUUUCUGAACUAUCCACACCGGCUCUUGGCUCUGGACAACUCCACAGUCAGUAUCUGCUUUGUCAGGGACCAUGCUUGUAUUCUGCUGCCUAUAGAGCAACCAGCUGCUCUUAACUUUUUCUACCUGGAAUGCACUAGGUUAUCAACUGAAACCCUUACUUUCACUACACUCCAUCUCCUUCCAUGCUGGGUAUGUAGAUUUAUGUAGCCUUCUCACAUGGUGUGAGCUAUAACUUGUUUCCAUGAACUACACAGAGACUUGCAUAUAUGUCUUCCAUGAUAGCUACUCUUAGUCCUGUACUGCCAAGGAGUCAGACACCACUUGGUUUACAUAGAACUCCACUGAGACAUCCCUCCCUAUCCUACUCUCACUUCCUGUUUAUCCAGAUCAAGUAAUCUCUUAUGCUUGGUUAAUACUAAUUUCUCGUUUAAUUAUGUCAAUAUUACCCUCUGGCCUUCUCGGGUUCAUGUUGUAGGAAUAAGAUCUCCAACCAUACAGCUUAGGAUGGACAGCUCACCUAUAAAGCCCCACCCUCUUCCAGAAAACACAUCAUUAGCAAGAGUCAGACACAUUUUCACUUCUAUGAACAAGAACAGUGAGGAAAGGACAGGUAAGGUAUUUUUCAUUCGAGAGAUGGCCCCAAGAAUUCUGUUAAUUCCAGUUCUCCUCUCGAACUCUGUUAUUGUUCGACAGUGUCAGAGUGUCUUAACCUCCCGCAAUGUGAUAUGAAUCCGGGUAGUUCUUUCUGCUAGCUGUCACCAGGAGUCCUUGGUAUGGUCCCCCCAACAGGCCUCAGGGACUGGAUUGAGUGACUUCACCUGUAAUUCACCUGUAGUGCAUAAAAUCUUGGACAUACAGGUUUGGUUAACAAACAGUUUCUCAUUUGUUAUAUUAUUAGCUAAAAAAAAAAAAUUAUCAGUUAAUUAUCCCGUAGGUCACAUCCUAUCCUAGAACACAAUUUACCCAUCCCCCCUUUGUUACCUGGCUCUGCCAUCAUCAUGUAGGAGCCCCUUUCAAUUUUCCACAUGUCCAAUUCUCCCUUGGGCAUCCAUUCAUGUCAAUCCUGUACCAAUACUCUGUCAAGUUUCUUAUCUACUUUAAAGAAGUAUGUGCUACUUAUAUAUUUUCUUAAAUAUAUAUAUUUACAGAUUUAAACCGUAACACCUUUCUCUCAUAUCUCUCAAAUACCACUAAGCUUCUAACUGUUUGACUUGAUCUAAAAUCAUUGAUUUUAGAAAAAACAUAUCUGAGUGGCAAUCUCUAAAGUCCUUACAUUUCCUUAAUAAAUCUAUCUUAAUCCUAACAAUAAUCCUAAAUCAUCACAGAUGUCCUAUAUUCCUGUUAAAUUUAAUACUACUUAUAAAAACUCCUAAUAGUCAAACAAAUUCAAAAAAAUGCUAAUCAUAUCGAAAUCCUUCCUACACUAACAAGCUCUUUCCUUCAGGGACCCUCAGUAUUCUGAUAAUAACAUGAAUUUAAUAUAUGUUGCAAAGUGUGGAAUAUCUUAUCUACAGUAAUUUAUCACCCCUAAGAACUGAAACUUAUUUUUCUAUGUAAUUCCCUGCCCUAUUGGCUUAACAUAUCUCCUAUCCAAACCUCAAUGUAUCUUAUCUUCCCCUAUUUAUUCUCAAUGAUAAAUAGGAUUUUUUUUCUCCAUUACAAUACCAAAUCAUUAAUAGCCCAUUCAAAAACUUCACAGCUAAUAUUGUAAAUCAGAAUCCUGAAACACUUUCUCUUCAGUGAUUCAAACAAUAAUUCCAAACCCCUAACUAAAACUCCAUUAUAAUGAAUUUACCUUAAAACUAGUAACUCAAUAUGACCACAUUCAUUAUACAAAUGACUCUCCCCUGAGGCUGAUCAGACCUCAGAAGACAGUCAUGACAAGGUCAAUCGGUCAUUAAAAAAAAAAUCACUUGUAUAAUUAAAACUCAUAAAAUAAAAACUCAUAAAGUUCCAUAUUUGAGCGUGCCUCUUUAAAAUACCUUUGCACCAAAACGAAUAGUCCUAACAAAACACCAUCUGCGUGUUCCUCAAGGAAAAACAACUUGCCCCUGUUACAGAUGUCUACUUAACAAGGGAAAAGCUCAAAUAACCAAAUUCAACCUAGCUAGUUUCCCGAAACAUAUACAAUUAUGUUUUACUAUAGAGGUUGCUUUUCAACAUUAAUACCCUAACAUUGUUCCACAUAAUGGAAACAGUGCUCAAAUUCACUGGUGUUACAUAAACCAUCAAAUCAGGAAUCAAUAACCAUCAGAAUCCAUUAUCACGAUGUUUUACGAUUCAGACAUUCAAUCUCCCUUCUCAUGGCCUAAUUACAGUCCAGAUAAACGCCACAAAUCAAUGAUACCCACCUAGCGAAUCAGCUGCUAGUUUUUAGCAUCUUUCCUGGCGACUUACAUACUCCUUUUAAAAAUGUAUUUCGACAUUUUUAUCAACUUCUGAAAAGUGACUCAACAAUAAUGCACGCAUUUUCCUUCUAAAAGACACGAACCAUUUUCUCCGUUACCCCCAGACACGACAUCAUUUCCGUGGCGACGAAAGCCUCGCGAGUGAUGUCAUCAACAAGCGCUCAACCUCGACUCAAUUCGCAACGAUUUUCAAUUAAUUGUAAAUAAUGGUUGGUAUUUCGGGUUCGAUAAACCAAACCUAAUUUAUCACAUCUGUUGAAUCCUGAAUUAGAGUUUACAACAUCAAUCAACAUCUCUCAAUUCGCUAAUUUUAUAAAAACAUUUCGAUGGACACAAAUCUAUCUUAAUUGUUCCCCCGAUAUUAUUCAGAAUUAAUUUGAUUUAAGUUACUGUCUCGUCUUUGAUUUAGCAUUUUAAUUACGACUCUAUUCCCAAUGUAUUAUUCCCAACAGAUCAUUUAGUGAACAGACAUCGUCUUGCAUCAAAAUUCGCUUCGUUCUUAUUUUAAGUUGAAUGAAUUAGUCUUUCAAUUUGAACCAAACAAACUAUUUAAAACGUUCAGUUUAUAUCUUAUUCCAAUACUAGUGACUAUAACUUUCUCCGCAAAACAAUUAGUUUAAUUACAACCAAAAACUCAGAUAUAUAUUUUUACGCCUCAGCUGGGAACCGAAUCCUGGACUGCAGGUUGUGAGACUGCUACGCUCACCACUAUACCAUCAAUGCUAUCAAUGCUAUGAAACUGAGAUUCUCCGCAAAUAGACCCAAUUUACAGUUAUCUGUAUUUGUUACUCCGGCAUCUGAACAACAGAAAAUAGCACUAAUUUAAACACCCAAAGUUUUCCCUCAGUUAUGAUUCUCAUUAAUCUCGCUCCCUUUGUAUCUAACCCUUCUUUUUCUUUUCCCGAUUGUCGCCUCUGACCUUUCCCUCAGUUAAACUACAAUAUUGGUGGUGACGUCUUUUGCAGGGAGUGUUACACUCCCGGGCGAAAUGUCCAAUUUCGUUACAAUUAAAACAUUUUCCCUUUUUCUUUUGACUCACCUUAUCCACUUUUCUCGACUAGAUUACCUCUGUAUUUUUUGCUUAUUCGAGAAGGACAUAGUUUGAUACCCUCACCUACACCCAAUUGGUUAACCUUUUUUUUUAAUCUGCGGGAGCGGAGAGCAGCCCAUCUUUGCUCCUUUUAGGCUCAGUCAUAUAACGCUCGUCUCCCGUUACUUCCGGCACCUCCUUUGAGGAAUUUAUACAUCUUUAUACAUCUUUAAUCCUUACCGUUAUGUAGCUAUGGUAUUUAAUCACUUACCUAUGUGCGUGUUUUCUAUGAAUCUGCUAUUUACCGUUACUUAGUUACUUAUGUUGCUUCUCUGUCUGACUAUGUGUGUGACUCUUUAAUGAUAAUCAGUAUGUAUUCUCCUUCCUGGAAACCUCAUCUAUAGCUGACUUUUGAUUUGGACAUUACAUUUCACCCGUAUACAAUAAUAAGCUCAUUAUAAACUAUUGUUCCUUGGGACUUUCAACGUUAAUUAAUAUCUCAUAUCUCACUACUCUAGAAUUAGCUUCCCUCUCCUCCCUGGAUAUUAAUCUCUUUCAGUAUUGAAUGGGUUCAGUGAUUAUGUUCGCCUAGAAUUGCCCUGCCUUCUCACCAAGCCUAAUUUAUC